rnacentral:rRNA from 1 species
UACGGGGGGGGCAAGCGUUGUUCGGAAUUACUGGGCGUAAAGGGCUCGUAGGUGGCCAACUAAGUCGGACGUGAAAUCCCUCAGCUUAACUGGGGAACUGCGUCCGAUACUGGAUGGCUUGAGUUUGGGAGAGGGAUGCGGAAUUCCAGGUGUAGCGGUGAAAUGCGUAGAUAUCUGGAGGAACACCUGUGGCGAAGGCGGCCCCCUGGUUGGAUACUGACGCUGAGACGCGAAAGCGUGGGGAGCAAACAGG